CCCUUAGAUGUUCUGGGCCGCACGCGCGCUACACUGAUGCAUUCAACGAGUUUCUUCCUGGUCCGAGAGGAAUGGGUAACCUUUUGAAAGUGCAUCGUGAUAGGGAUAGACUAUUGCAAUUAUUGGUCUUCAACGAGGAAUUCCUAGUAGACGUAGUUCAUCAGACUGCAUCGAUUACGUCCCUGACCUUUGUACACACCGCCCGUCGCUCCUACCGAUUGAAUGCUCAGGUGAGCCAUUCGGACUUUCAUCAUGCUGGUUUCCAGUUUUGAUGAAGGAAAGUCUUGCGAACCUUAUCAUUUAGAGGAAGGAGAAGUCGUAACA
rnacentral:rRNA from 1 species